AUGCCGCGUGACACGUUCCUGGCCGAGAUGCUGGACCGUCUCAUGGCGCGCUGCGAAUUCGACACGAUCGCCGCGUUCGUCGACGGCAUCACUGGAUUCUUGGAAGCGGACCGUGGCCCUGCUGACGGCGACGCACGUCGGCGCGCCAAGACCCUGCGUCUGGAGUUCUUCCAGACACAAGAUGGCGGCUGCGUCCUCGACCGCCUGAUCACCGCCGCGGUAGGCGCAUGGGGAGUGGAGGAUCUGGAGGUCGUUGCCAGGCAAGCUUCCUGCCAUGUCCUUCAGGCGCCGCCAUACCGCUUUCCUCACAACCACGACUGCCUCAAGGACGGCCUACGCAGCUUGACGUUGGGUAACUACUGCAUGCUCCCGCCGCUGCAUAGCUACAACGCUCCCACCACGCUGGUCCUGCGAGAGAUGGCCGCUUCCACGCCCGUUGACGUGUAUCAGAGGGUGUUCACUGAGUGCACGAGGCUGCAGGUGCUUCACCUGAUAUCCUGUUGCUGUGCACAGGACUAUGUGGUGGUGGACGCGCCGUGUUCACAGAUCAGGGAGCUCAUCCUCGACCAGUGCAAGUUCAUGGCGACCGAGCUGCGCCACCUUCCAAUGCUUGUCAGCCUGGCGUGCUGCCUAACCGACACUUAUAGACUCAUAUUCGGCUUGGUCCCCAGCCUCACGCACACUAACCUCACAUUCGCGACAGAAAGCUGGAUAGUUCCAAAGCGGUGUACGGAUCACUUCGGCCAUUACAUCAUCGGCAUGCCCCCUACCAUGACGGAUCUCGUCCUCCGCUUCACUGGGCUGAGAAGAUGGAUGGUGCCCAGUCCACCGGCCAAGCCAUUGCUCAACCUGAAAAAGCUCCUUGUCGCCGAUCUGCCUGCGAACUGGGACAUCACAUGGCCACGCGGCCUCCUGUUGGCCACGCCGUCACUCGAGGUCAUGCAUAUCCAUGUGCCUUGCUCGGAGGAGGAGCCAACUUACGGGAGCAUGAGAAUGAGCUCACUUGAGGCGCUUCAGCGCCAUCACUGCCUCAGGGAGCUGGCCAUUACUGGAUUCUUGCGGCGCCACAUAUGGUUUUUGAAGUAUGUGGUGAGCGUGUGCAUAUGUUGCAACGUGUUAUCCUGCUCAAGGAUGAUGAUCAUGUUCGAUACAAUGGACUUUGGGAUUGGGAGAUGGUCGAGCAGCAAGCAUUUCCUUGGAACAAUGAUGAUGAAAUGGUGGUGA
rnacentral:rRNA from 1 species